rnacentral:rRNA from 1 species
UUCAAUUUUUAAAAGGGGGUUUUGGCUACCACUUACAGAUGGACCCGCGGCGCAUUAGCUAGUUGGUGAGGUAACGGCUCACCAAGGCGACGAUGCGUAGCCGACCUGAGAGGGUGAUCGGCCACACUGGGACUGAGACACGGCCCAGACUCCUACGGGAGGCAGCAGUAGGGAAUCUUCCGCAAUGGACGAAAGUCUGACGGAGCAACGCCGCGUGAGUGAUGAAGGUUUUCGGAUCGUAAAACUCUGUUGUUAGGGAAGAACAAGUACCGUUCGAAUAGGGCGGUACCUUGACGGUACCUAACCAGAAAGCCACGGCUAACUACGUGCCAGCAGCCGCGGUAAUACGUAGGUGGCAAGCGUUGUCCGGAAUUAUUGGGCGUAAAGCGCGCGCAGGCGGUUUCUUAAGUCUGAUGUGAAAGCCCCCGGCUCAACCGGGGAGGGUCAUUGGAAACUGGGGAACUUGAGUGCAGAAGAGGAGAGUGGAAUUCCACGUGUAGCGGUGAAAUGCGUAGAGAUGUGGAGGAACACCAGUGGCGAAGGCGACUCUCUGGUCUGUAACUGACGCUGAGGCGCGAAAGCGUGGGGAGCGAACAGGAUUAGAUACCCUGGUAGUCCACGCCGUAAACGAUGAGUGCUAAGUGUUAGAGGGUUUCCGCCCUUUAGUGCUGCAGCAAACGCAUUAAGCACUCCGCCUGGGGAGUACGGUCGCAAGACUGAAACUCAAAGGAAUUGACGGGGGCCCGCACAAGCGGUGGAGCAUGUGGUUUAAUUCGAAGCAACGCGAAGAACCUUACCAGGUCUUGACAUCCUCUGACAACCCUAGAGAUAGGGCUUCCCCUUCGGGGGCAGAGUGACAGGUGGUGCAUGGUUGUCGUCAGCUCGUGUCGUGAGAUGUUGGGUUAAGUCCCGCAACGAGCGCAACCCUUGAUCUUAGUUGCCAGCAUUCAGUUGGGCACUCUAAGGUGACUGCCGGUGACAAACCGGAGGAAGGUGGGGAUGACGUCAAAUCAUCAUGCCCCUUAUGACCUGGGCUACACACGUGCUACA